rnacentral:piRNA from 1 species
UUAAAUGAACCCUAAUCUCUUCAAUU